rnacentral:lncRNA from 1 species
CCACCCUCCUCUCUCUCUCUCUCUCUCUCUCUCUCUUUCUCUCUCUGUGAAGACACUUCAAAUGAUAUAUCUUAGAGGUUAAUUAGUCUUUUCUCUUGGAUAAUUUCCAUAUCUAUCUCAACCCUAACACUGUAACCUGUUUCCCCAUGCAUAUACCUAUAAAUCUCACUCUCUUAGUUUUCCUCUGUUUUUACCUCUCUCCCUCCCUCUCCCUCUCUAUUCAGCAUCCCCCUGUUUUUACCUAGUGCAACUCUCUCUCUCUACUCAGCUAGGAUGAGGAUCUGGUUUUAUUUUAUUCAACUAAAAAGACAUUUACUGCAUAAUGACUGAUAGAUCAAGCUGUUUUGUUUCCUCCAUUAAGAAAGCAACAAUUAACAACCAAAAAGAAAAAAAAGAAAAGAAAGAUUUAUGUUUCUCUUCCACUAAGAAAGUAGCAACAAGAAAGGCAGCUAUGAAAAAGGGGUAAACCUCACCUUUCCCAACCAAGUUGGCAUUAAUUUCAGAAAUCCACCACCUAUGCUUCGACUUACAUAAAAUUGUUACUUUAACUCUUUUUUUUUGAGACAAGAUUCCAUUCCUAUGAAUAAGCCGCUUUAUUAAUACUCAAACAAAUUAGUUCUAAAAGUACUGCUUUAACCCUUUUCUUUUUUUUUUCUAAAUCUGUUUAUCACUGAGGUUCCCUCUCCCUAAACUCACAGAUCCAAGAAUUUCUCGAGUACAGACCCAAGAACCUGUACAUCUAUAUCUAAAACAAAAACCAAAAACCUAACUUACUCCCUGAGUAAACCACCAGCGGUUAUCCUCUCCACACACAACUGAAAGCCCCUGGGUAAACACCCUCUCUCAAUCUAAACACAUCCUCAUGAUAAAGAUCUUAAUCUAAGUGUAAGUCCAACAAUCACUAUUGAAAGAGAGGAGGCGAUCUGGAUGACAAAAAAAUGUGGACAUAUUUUUCCUAGUGUACGCAUUUUUCAUUUUGAGAGAGCACCUAAAGGAGAUGUACAUUUGUGCAAAUUUGAGGUCCCUCGGAUUCUCACUUCUCUAAAAAAAAUUUCUCACCGCCAGGAUAGCCUUUCACUUAUGGAUCUUUCAGGGGCAUUUGGCUUAUACAAUUUAAUAGGCCUGUGGGCUUACAAGAUCAAAUUCCUAUUUAUCCUAGAUCAAGAGACAUGGGGGAAUUCUGGAUAAAAGGCUAGGAAGGGACUUUGUUUUAUGUCUUAGAGGGGGUGGGUGAGAUUGGUUUCAUUCGAAGAGAACAUCAGGACUGGUUGCUGAUGUCUAGGGAGAGGAAAUACUAGAGAAAGGAGUGCUUGUGGUAGUAGACAUAGAAAGAAACAUUGCCUUCUGGUUUUAUCAAUUUUUUAAGACAUGGUUUUAGAUACCGUGUCUUCGAAGAAGUGGAUACCGUGGGUUCUUUGAUUAUCCAUUCCUGGGGCCCAUAGCAUCCACUUUCAACGAUAUUUUUAACAUAAGAGGGAGGUGCUACAAUGUAUAGAAGAGAUGGCUCUAGAAGCCACCGCUUCCAAAAAUCAAACACGCCAUUUGUUUCUUAAGGGGGUUUCGUCCUUCAACCUUGGCUGAAAUGACAGACAGGACAAGGGCAAGUAAAUCCUAGAGAAAGAAAGCCCCUUCUUUUUCUCUAAUGAGAAGUAAGGUGGGGUUCAACCGCAGCCCCAUGGUUGGGGUUGCAACAACAGGUGCAUUUCAAAUCCUACGAAGAGGAUAUCCUUGACAGAGAGAGGAUCGACCAUAAAUUGGAUUCAACUCUCACACAUUUACAGGCACCUCUACACCAUAUAGAAAGAAAGGAAAACCUGGGAAAGAAAGCCCGUUGUUUUGUCAUUCAAGAAUUGGUUCGGGUUGAAUGAUCGGGUUCCAGUGUUCCACUGUUUUGUCUGCUUCUCUAACCUCGGCAACUCCAAGGAGUCAGGGCAUAGGGGUCUAUUUCUCCAUCUAAAUUUUUUAGCAGCUUGGUGGUGUGAUCCUGGACCAGGGCUUGAUCAGAGCUGCAUUAUGUUUGUCGUGUGUUAGUUAUUGAGGCACUGGCUAGCAUUACAAAUUGGGAGCAAUGGUUGUGGCCGAUACAGCCUUGAGAGAGGGACAAUAUCUCAAUCAAUGAGAAUCAUUUAGUGGAUUAAGAACAAGUGGGCUGCAAGUUAAAGCUCACUGGGUGGGAUGAUGAGAAAGAACAAGAGGAGGCCAUCGCUGGACCCUGCAGAUGAAUCUCUCUCUUUUUUUCCAGAGGGGAGGAGAGAGAAAGAAGUGCCCCUCGCAGGAAAGACCUCGAAAAAACCAUCCAAAGCCCAUAUUGUAAUUUUCAGUUUUCUUUUAAUAUUUAUUUAAUAGAAAGAGGGCCAAUUUAGUUAGGGUGAGGUUUGUAUGAGGUUCCUACCUAUAAAUCAGGCAGCACCUCUAAAUUUUAUCAAGAGAUGUAGUAGUUCUGGCAUAGGAAAACCUACAAUGACUCCAAAAUCUAGGUUCAAUCCAAUUUAUCAAAUUUGAAUUUUCAAAAAUGGUAGUGUAGAUCGUGCGGAUCUAUAAACACUUGAAAAUAGAUAGUCUAAACUUUUCCUUUUCUUUAUAUUCACACAUCUUGAUGUCUGAUGAUUGGAAUAUCCUUUUAUGCUGAUUUUUUACAUGUUGUAACAUUGUAUAAACUGUUCAUCAAUGGUUUAAAAACCGGAUCGGUGACCCGGAUCGGGCUUUCCAAAAACCG